GGAGUCUGCUUCUAACCGUCUCUUGACUGAGACUAGCGACUUGUGCGCUAACUUUUGACUUGACCUCAAAUCAGGUAGGACUACCCGCUGAACUUAAGCAUAUCAAUAAGCGGAGGAAAAGAAACUAACAAGGAUUCCCCUAGUAACUGCGAGUGAAGCGGGAAAAGCUCAAAUUUAAAAUCUGGCGGUCUCCGGCCGUCCGAGUUGUAAUUUAGAGAAGCGUUAUCCGUGCUGGACCGUGUAUAAGUCUCCUGGAAUGGAGCGUCAUAGAGGGUGAGAAUCCCGUCUUUGACACGGACUACCAGUGCAUUGUGAUGCGCUCUCGACGAGUCGAGUUGUUUGGGAAUGCAGCUCAAAAUGGGUGGUAAAUGCCAUCUAAAGCUAAAUAUUGGCGAGAGACCGAUAGCGAACAAGUACCGUGAGGGAAAGAUGAAAAGAACUUUGGAAAGAGAGUUAAACAGUACGUGAAAUUGUCGAAAGGGAAACGGUUGCAGUCAGUCGCGUCCUCCGGGGAUCAACCUUGCUUUUGCUUGGCGUAUUUCCCGGUGGAUGGGUCAGCAUCAGUUUUGACCGCAGUUAAAAGGCUGGAGGAAUGUGGCACCUUCGGGUGUGUUAUAGCCUCCUGUCAUAUGCUGCGGUUGGGACUGAGGAACUCAGCACGCCGCAAGGCCGGGAUUCGUCCACGUUCGUGCUUAGGAUGCUGGCAUAAUGUCUGUAACCGACCCGUCUUGAAACACGGACCAAGGAGUCUAACAUGCACGCGAGUGUUUGGGUGGCAAACCCGAGCGCGUAAUGAAAGUGAAAGUUGAGACCUCUGUCGUGGAGGGCAUCGACGCCC
rnacentral:rRNA from 1 species